AGAUUGAACGCUAGCGGGAUGCUUUACACAUGCAAGUCGAACGGCAGCGCGGACUUCGGUCUGGCGGCGAGUGGCGAACGGGUGAGUAAUAUAUCGGAACGUGCCCAGUAGCGGGGGAUAACUACGCGAAAGCGUGGCUAAUACCGCAUACGCCCUACGGGGGAAAGGGGGGGAUUCUUCGGAGCCUCUCACUAUUGGAGCGGCCGAUAUCAGAUUAGCUAGUUGGUGAGGUAAAGCUCACCAAGGCGACGAUCUGUAGCUGGUUUGAGAGGACGACCAGCCACACUGGGCCUGGAGACACGGCCAGACUCCUACGGGACGCAGCAGUGGGAAUUUGGACAGUGGGGAACCUGAUCCAGCCAUCCCGCGUGUCGCGA
rnacentral:rRNA from 1 species